rnacentral:rRNA from 1 species
CAGUAGCCGCGGGAAUACGGAGGGUGCGAGCGUUAAUCGGAAUUACUGGGCGUAAAGCGUACGCAGGCGGUUUGUUAAGUCAGAUGUGAAAUCCCCGGGCUUAACCCGGGAACUGCAUUUGAAACUGGCAGGCUAGAGUCUCGUAGAGGGGGGUAGAGUUCCAGGUGUAGCGGUGAAAUGCGUAGAGAUCUGGAGGAAUACCGGUGGCGAAGGCGGCCCCCUGGACGAAGACUGACGCUCAGGUACGAAAGCGUGGGGAGCAAACAGGAUUAGAUACCCCAGUAGUCCCUGUCUCUUAUAC